CCCGCUUCCACCUGCAGCCGCGGCAGUGGACACUUUGCGAUGCUGGGUCACCUGCGCUUGUUCGCGGACUCCUGGGCCUCUCCUCCGCUCUUGUGGGUGCUGGAAGGGAUGGCGACCUGGGUGCCUGACGCGGAGCCAAGCGUGUACCCGGGAAGCAAAAUGAGAAAAUGCCGGCUGUGUGACUGUCCCAGAGUUUCUCCUGAACCGAGUCUCCUCAUCAGCCUCCUCCUGGGCUAGUUGUCACUUAGGCCAUCAGGAGCUAUUCGAUUCCAGACAGCAGAAACGCCAACUCAAACCGGCUGGAAGUAUAAGAGGACUCAUCAGCUUAUGUCCUGGAAAGGCCCAAAGUAGGCCUGGCUUCUCGACACCUUUCUAUGAAACCCCCUGUUGUAAUUCCAGGAUGGUUGCCAAACAUCUCCGGGGCUGCAGGCUUCCUCCGUGCAGAUUAAAAUAUGCCCACGAGUGCCCUGACACUUCCUUUAAAAGGUGGAGCCAAGUUCCCUUCUCCUUGAGUGCUCUUCCAACACCUAGAAAAAAGCAGAAGUGAGUAGGCCCUAAAAGCCCAGGAAGAGGCCCACGAGAUGGACAACGGAGGCCUCUGACCGACAGCCAGGGAGAACCGCGCCCCCGGCCAGUGGCCACUGAAAGGUCUUGAAGCAGGGCCACUUUAAUCCAAUGAGCUUGGCAGUUGGUCCUCAGCCCCGGCCGGACCUCAGGUGACAGCAGACCCUCGUGAGAGACCCUGAGCUGCAGCCACCCAGCAGAAGCUACUCCUGGAUCCCCGGCCCAUGGAAACCGAGGUAACAAACAUUUGUUUUUUUUUUUUUUUUAAUUUUUUUUUUCAACGUUUAUUUAUUUUUGGGACAGAGAGAGACAGAGCAUGAACGGGGGAGGGGCAGAGAGAGAGGGGGACAUAGAAUCGGAAGCAGGCUCCAGGCUCUGAGCCAUCAGCCCAGAGCCCGACGCGGGGCUCAAACUCACGGACUGCGAGACCGUGACCUGGCUGAAGUCGGACGCUUAACCGACUGCGCCACCCAGGCGCCCCAAACAUUUGUUGUUUUAAGCCACAGUUUUGGAACAAUUGGUUAAGCAGCAAUAGACAACAUAUUCAGCUUGUCCAGGGAAGACGAUGUGCUUCUAGAAGUUUGUUCAGGAAAGAGAAGAAGCUUCUGUCUCAGAAGCCUCCAGCAAAACCUUCCUCCUAGAGGAAUGUGGGGGCCACUCAAAGUACUUGGCUCUAAGUCAGGA
ensembl:lncRNA